UACGUAGGGUGCAAGCGUUUGUCCGGAAUUACUGGGCGUAAAGAGUUCGUAGGCGGUUUGUCGCGUCGUUUGUGAAAACCAGCAGCUCAACUGCUGGCUUGCAGGCGAUACGGGCAGACUUGAGUACUGCAGGGGAGACUGGAAUUCCUGGUGUAGCGGUGAAAUGCGCAGAUAUCAGGAGGAACACCGGUGGCGAAGGCGGGUCUCUGGGCAGUGAACUGACGUGGAGGAAACGAAAAGCGUGGGUAGCGAACAGGA
rnacentral:rRNA from 1 species